GUCGUGCACAUACACUGAGAAGGCUUCAACAAUCCACGGAGCGUAUAAAAGUCUACCUGCGGCCCGAAACUAACAACAACAUGCGGUUCGCUGUUCUUGCUUUGGUCGUUGCGGCGCUGAUCGCUCUUGUCGCAGCGGCACCGGCUCACGAUGUAGCGAGGCGAUCACCCCUUCUCGGCUGCAUCUCCAAAUGUUUCGGCGGUUCCAAGAGCAGCGGCAAGGUGAAGCCUAUCCGGACGGGCAAUCGGGGAGCGUACCCCGGCCAAAGUUAAACCGUGGGGCCACAUUUAAGGGCGAGUCCGCCUGGAGGUCAUGUGAAAGAUAAGGCUGUUAUCAAUCAAAUGAAAUAAAAUUCUGUGGCGAAAGCUGCGUCUUCGAUCUUUUGCUCUGCUCAUU
rnacentral:lncRNA from 1 species